rnacentral:other from 1 species
CGCCUCCUGCAGUGUUCGAUAAUGACCUGGAAACCUCUCGACCCUAAAUAUUUACCUCGGGGUCGUGCACUGUUGGUAGCAUUUGAGCAGGGCCGCUUCGGCGGUUAGCCUGUUGCUGCAACGGCUGACCCCACCUGUUGCUCCGGUUCGAGGGCGACGGUCUGCAACGGCACAGGCGGGAGGCGC